AGCUAGCUCAGUCGGUAGAGCAUGAGAGUCUUAAUCUCAGGAUCGUGGGUUUGAGCCCCACGAAACCUA
rnacentral:tRNA from 1 species